rnacentral:rRNA from 1 species
AUUGAACGCUGGCGGAAUGCUUUACACAUGCAAGUCGAACGGUAGAGGGGGCAACCCCUCGAGAGUGGCGAACGGGUGAGUAAUAUAUCGGAACGUGCCCAGUCGUGGGGGAUAACGUAGCGAAAGUUACGCUAAUACCGCAUACGAUCUACGGAUGAAAGCGGGGGAUCGCAAGACCUCGCGCGAUUGGAGCGGCCGAUAUCAGAUUAGGUAGUUGGUGGGGUAAAGGCUCACCAAGGCGACGAUCCGUAACUGGUCUGAGAGGAUGAUCAGUCACACUGGAACUGAGACACGGUCCAGACUCCUACGGGAGGCAGCAGUGGGGAAUAUUGGACAAUGGGCGAAAGCCUGAUCCAGCCAUGCCGCGUGUGUGAAGAAGGUCUUCGGAUUGUAAAGCACUUUAAGUCGGGGGGAAGGGUUGUAGGUUAAUACCUUGCAGCCUUGACGUUACCGACAGAAUAAGCACCGGCUAACUUCGUGCCAGCCGCCGCGGUAA